rnacentral:lncRNA from 1 species
UUUCAGAUUUCAGUCCAAAUUUGGACAUGCAGAGAAAGGUUAUCAGGUGGUAACCUCUAAAGAAACUAGUAUCUUUUGGUUUUGGCAUAUUGAAAGAGGAAGAUAUUUUACAUACAAAAUGUUAUCAGCAUUAUAGUAAUAAUAGCAGUUGCCAUUGCUAGGCAGUGCUAGGUGAGUAGCUGAGGCAGGGUUAACCCAGGCAUCUAACAGUGUUGACUUCUUGCCCACAGCAACCACUGGACCAUGGUGGAUCAGAAAAGUGAGGUGCCAGGAAAUCUGGGUUACAUCAGUGUACAGACUCAGGUGGAGAAUCUGUGCAUAGCACAGCCUUUCCUCCCCGGCACUGCAGUCCUGUACUUUUUAAACAUGCUUUAAAAUUUUUAUUUAAUAUAAAUUAAAAUAGAAUUACAUCAUUUCCCCUUUCCCUUUUCUCCAAACCUUUCCGUGUCCCUUUUCUCCAUUCUUACAUAUGUGUGUGUGUUUUAUAUAUAGAUAUACAUACACUUGUAAUGAUAAUAAACACUUUAAAAAACUCUUAUACUACUAGGCAUCUGUAUUCUCUUAAUUACUAAUCCUGAGGCUUUCUUUCUUUUGUAAAUAUGAAUUCCUCAGAAUUUGAUGAAAAUUUAUUCCUUGUCAAACUUUGUGUGUGCUGUAUUGCUCUUUUAUUUGGUAUGGACUAUUUCCAAGUAUACUGUAUUUUUCUAAAGUGUGCCAAAAAUUGAGACAGCUGAAGAAGCAGGAAGCUUGGCUUAAUCAGACUGUCCCAGAGUAUCUCUCUACCUGUCAUAUAUAUAGGAAGGCGCAUCCUUACCUGUGAGAUGGAUACUUCAAGACUAAGGGUUAGUGCUAGGAUGUAGACAAUGUAAAAUAAUUAACUUUUAGAAUUACUUUAAAAUGUUAGAAGCUGGGUAUGUUGGCUGGUGCUGCAAUAUCUAGCAGGGGGAUCAUUAGAACAAGUUCAGGGCCAGCCUGAGCUACAGAGUGACACCUGUUU